rnacentral:rRNA from 1 species
GAUGAACGCUGGCGGCGUGCCUAACACAUGCAAGUCGAGGGGCAGCACGGGUAGCAAUACCUGGUGGCGACCGGCGCAAGGGUGCGUAACGCGUGAGCAACAUGCCCUAUACAGGGGGAUAAUCCAGGGAAACUUGGUCUAAUAUCCCAUAGUAUUUAGAGGAGGCAUCUUCUAUAAAUUAAAGCUUCGGUGGUAUAGGAUUGGCUCGCGUGACAUUAGCUAGAUGGUGAGGUAACGGCUCACCAUGGCAAUGAUGUCUAGGGGUUCUGAGAGGAAGACCCCCCAACUGGGACUGAGACACGGCCCAGACUCCUACGGGAGGCAGCAGUGAGGAAUAUUGGACAAUGGAUGGAAAUCUGAUCCAGCCAUGCCGCGUGCAGGAAGACGGCCCUAUGGGUUGUAAACUGCUUUUAAUGGGACAAUAAGGUUACAGUAGACCGAUGAGAGUACCAUAUGAAUAAGCAUCGGCUAA